rnacentral:rRNA from 1 species
UUGAAAGGGAAACGAUUGAAGUCAGUCGUACCGGUGGGUAAUCAGCCUUUCGGCGUGAUUAUGUGGAGCGUGAGGAGUCAAACGCCCUCAUGCCUGCAUAUUCGUGUUCUUUGGGUGUACUUACCCGCAUGGUAGGUUAACAUCAAUUUCGAACGUCAUAAAAUGGUUGGAGGAAUGUAGCUUCGAUCUCGUAUUGAAGUGUUAUAGCCUUCGGCAGAUGUGAUGAUCGGGAUUGAGGAUUGCAACGGAUACCCUUCGGGCUACCCGUCUGAUCUCUGAAAGUUACUCUGGUGCCGAAAGCUCGCUUACGGUCAUCAAAGUUGACGUUCAACAGGUUAGAACGGGAUAAAUUCGUUAAGGAUGUUGACGUA